UUUAACUGAAGAGUUUGAUCAUGGCUCAGAUUGAACGCUGGCGGCAGGCUUAACACAUGCAAGUCGAGCGGGGGAAGGUAGCUUGCUACUGGACCUA
rnacentral:rRNA from 1 species